rnacentral:rRNA from 1 species
ACGAAGGGGGCUAGCGUUGUUCGGAAUUACUGGGCGUAAAGCGCAUGUAGGCGGAUAUUUAAGUCAGGGGUGAAAUCCCGCAGCUCAACUGCGGAACUGCCUUUGAUACUGGGUAUCUUGAGUAUGGAAGAGGUGAGUGGAAUUCCGAGUGUAGAGGUGAAAUUCGUAGAUAUUCGGAGGAACACCAGUGGCGAAGGCGGCUCACUGGUCCAUUACUGACGCUGAGGUGCGAAAGCGUGGGGAGCAAACAGG